rnacentral:rRNA from 1 species
GCUUGAUCCUGGCUCAGGACGAACGCUGGCGGCGUGCCUAACACAUGCAAGUCGAGCGGGGAUAUAGGAAGAGUAAUCCGACUAUAUUCUAGCGGCGGACGGGUGAGUAACGCGUGAGCAACCUGUCCUUGUCUGGGGGAUAAGAAGCCGAAAGGCUUUCUAAUACCGCAUGAGACCACAGCAUCACAUGGUGCAGGGGUCAAAGGAGUAAUCCGGACAGGGGUGGGCUCGCGUCUGAUUAGCUAGUUGGUGAGGUAAUGGCUCACCAAGGCAGCGAUCAGUAGCCGACCUGAGAGGGUGAUCGGCCACACUGGAACUGAGACACGGUCCAGACUCCUACGGGAGGCAGCAGUGGGGAAUAUUGGGCAAUGGGCGAAAGCCUGACCCAGCAACGCCGCGUGAAGGAAGAAGGCUUUCGGGUCGUAAACUUCUAUCCCAGGUGAAGAUAAUGACGGUAGCCUGGGAGGAAGCCCCGGCUAACUACGUGCCAGCAGCCGCGGUAAUACGUAGGGGGCAAGCGUUGUCCGGAAUGAUUGGGCGUAAAGGGCGCGUAGGCGGCCUUUUAAGUCCGAUGUGAAAGUCCUGCUUUUAAGGUGGGAAUUGCAUUGGAAACUGGUAGGCUUGAGUGCAGGAGAGGUAAGUGGAAUUCCCGGUGUAGCGGUGAAAUGCGUAGAGAUCAGGAGGAACACCAGUGGCGAAGGCGACUUACUGGACUGUAACUGACGCUGAGGCGCGAAAGUGUGGGGAGCAAACAGGAUUAGAUACCCUGGUAGUCCACACUGUAAACGAUGAGUGCUAGGUGUAGGAGGUAUCGACCCCUUCUGUGCCGGAGUAAACACAAUAAGCACUCCGCCUGGGGAGUACGGCCGCAAGGUUGAAACUCAAAGGAAUUGACGGGGGCCCGCACAAGCAGCGGAGCAUGUUGUUUAAUUCGAAGCAACGCGAAGAACCUUACCAGGUCUUGACAUCCAGUAAAAGCAUCAGAGAUGAUGUGUGAGCUUGCUCAUACUGAGACAGGUGGUGCAUGGUUGUCGUCAGCUCGUGUCGUGAGAUGUUGGGUUAAGUCCCGCAACGAGCGCAACCCUUGUGAUUAGUUACUAACGCGUAAUGGCGAGGACUCUAAUAAGACUGCCGGGGACAACUCGGAGGAAGGUGGGGACGACGUCAAAUCAUCAUGCCCCCUUAUGACCUGGGCUACAAACGUGCUACAAUGGCCACUACAGAGAGCUGCGAACUCGCAAGAGCAAGCGAAUCUCACAAAAGUGGUCCCAGUUCGGAUUGUGGGCUGCAACCCGCCCACAUGAAGCCGGAGUUGCUAGUAAUCGCGGAUCAGCAUGCCGCGGUGAAUACGUUCCCGGGCCUUGUACACACCGCCCGUCACACCAUGGGAGUUGAUAGCGCCCGAAGUCGGUGAGGCAACCAGUAAUGGAGUCAGCCGCCGAAGGUGAGAUCAAUGACUGGGGUGAAGUCGUAACAAGGUA